rfam:Oryza sativa (indica cultivar-group) chromosome 4, whole genome shotgun sequence.
AAAAAGACAAACCCUGAAUUUCCGUGUACAAUUUUAACUAUCCGUCUUAUAUGAAUUUUUUUAUAAUUCGUAUUUUCAUUGUUGUUAGAUGAUAAAACAUGAUUAAUGUUUUAUGCGUGACUUCUCUUUUUAAUUUUUUCAUAAUUUUUUCAAAUAAGACGGACGGUCAAACGUUGGACACGGAAACCAGGGGUUUGUCUUUUU